rnacentral:rRNA from 1 species
CUGCGGAGGGAUCAUUACAAGUGACCCUGGCCUCCGGGCCGGGAUGUUCAUAACCCUUUGUUGUCCGACUCUGUUGCCUCCGGGGCGACCCUGCCUUCGGGCGGGGGCCCCGGGUGGACAUAUCAAACUCUUGCGUAACUUUGCAGUCUGAGUAAAUUUAAUUAAUAAAUUAAAACUUUCAACAACGGAUCUCUUGGUUCUGGCAUCGAUGAAGAACGCAGCGAAAUGCGAUAAGUAAUGUGAAUUGCAGAAUUCAGUGAAUCAUCGAAUCUUUGAACGCACAUUGCGCCCCCUGGUAUUCCGGGGGGCAUGCCUGUUCGAGCGUCAUUUCACCACUCAAGCCUCGCUUGGUAUUGGGCGACGCGGUCCGCCGCGCGCCUCAAAUCGACCGGCUGGGUCUUCUGUCCCCUCAGCGUUGUGGAAACUAUUCGCUAAAGGGUGCCACGGGAGGCUACGCCGUAAAACAACCCCAUUUCUAAGGUUGACCUCGGAUCAGGUAGGGAUACCCGCUGAACUUAAGCAUAU